rnacentral:rRNA from 1 species
ACAGGGAGAAUCGCUGCUAAAACCCAAUGUGCAUAUGAUAUAUGUGAAAGUAUUUAUAGCCCUAUGAGGAGCUCGCGUCCGAUUAGUUAGUUGGUGGGGUAAGAGCCUACCAAGGCAGCGAUCGGUAGCUGGUCUGAGAGGAUGAGCAGCCACACUGGGACUGAGACACGGCCCAGACUCCUACGGGAGGCAGCAGUGGGGAAUUUUCCGCAAUGGGCGAAAGCCUGACGGAGCAAUACCGCGUGAGGGAGGAAGGCUUUUGGGUUGUAAACCUCUUUUGUUAAGGAAGAAGAAAGUGACGGUACUUAACGAAUAAGCAUCGGCUAACUCCGUGCCAGCAGCCGCGGUAAUACGGAGGAUGCAAGCGUUAUCCGGAAUCAUUGGGCGUAAAGCGUCCGCAGGUGGUUAAUCAAGUCUGCUGUUAAAGACAGAAGCUCAACUUCUGGUCGGCGGUGGAAACUGGUAAACUAGAGUACGGUAGGGGUCGAGGGAAUUCCCAGUGUAGCGGUGAAAUGCGUAGAUAUUGGGAAGAACACCAGUGGCGAAGGCGCUCGACUGGGCCGUAACUGACACUCAGGGACGAAAGCUAGGGUAGCGAAAGGGAUUAGAUAC